UACAGGGAGUCAAUGGGACAGACAAGCUUUCUACUGGAAACUGGCUCCAGAAGAAAUGUUAAGAUUACCUAGAAGUAGUCAACUGGUGAUGAAGGAGGAGGAGAAUAAUGCUACAUUAGUAUAGAUGUGCAGUACUGAGAUAAUGAACGGGUUACUAUCUGGGGCAAAAGCUGAAAGGAUACAGAAAGAUGAAAAUCAUGAGGAAGAGUUGAACACAAAACCGAGAGACAGUCAAAGAGCAUAGCCAGUUCCAGCACCACAGCCAUCUAGUUCUCUAUAUCUGGGUGGUGGCUUUUUAUCUAAAAUCCCUGCUUCAUACGGUGAGACAAUGGCAGGAUUGAUAAAUCUGAGGAACAUGGCACUUCCUACUGCACCGAUGCUGUUCUGAGGGAAACGCUGGCUAACCACCUAAAAACAAGGAGUUGAGAAUUGAGUAUAAGGUUUGAAUUAAUAUAAAGACAUGAAAACAAAGAGUUCAAAGGUCAAACUUUGCAUAAAAACUCUGAAUCAAUCAGUCCUCAUGAAUGACAUAUUUCUAUUUUUUUCUUCUCCCAAAACAUGAGAAAAUAAAGUUUCCUCUCAAUUCUAGUCUUAUAUCAUAUUAAAGUACAAUUAAGGUAUCUCAGAGGAAAGAAAAACCUCAUGGAUGAGAUGGGUAGAAGAAACCUGAAAAAAGAUCUUCACUGUAUCAUCACUUAUACUGCAUGUUUGAUGAGUAAUGAAAGCAGACCAAAUUUUUCACACAAAGAUGAUCAUAAUUUACUAAGAUUAACAGACAUGAAAGUGUGGUCAACUUUAUAACGUGAAACUAAAUUUUCAACAGCACACCCCCAAAACAUCCUAUACCUGAUAGUACAUAUUUACAUUUUGUUGUGUACCAGUUACAAUUGAAUUUAAGAAAAAAAUGCUUGCCAUAUACAAAAUAAAAUAUUAGAUUCUUACUGAGAAAAAAAAAAACUUACUUACAAGUAAUGUUACUGCCAGUGCCUUUUCUUCACAGCUUCCUUUAUAAUACAAGAACCUACCUAUUAUUUAAACCAUGGAGGGAUGGGAAUUCUUGGGGACCUAAAAGAAAAAAGGAUCUCACCAGAAGAGAGAACCCCUAUGUCUACCUCAAUUUAUAAUUCUGUCAAAUAAAAAUAAUUUAAGAACUCAAGAAAUGGUUGUCCAGCCUGAAAAGCAAUGUGAACCCAAUAUUUAAAAUGGAUGAUUUUCCCUUUAUAAAACAUUCUACAUUAAGAUAAAAAGGUACCUUAGCUCGGGAAGAGUGCUAUAAAACUGGUUCAGCUCCCAUCCCUUUCCAGAGUCCCCUGCUUUAAAUCAUGUCAUAGAUGAAAAUUAUAUUUUGCAGUUUACAUUUUUAUAUAUACUAUAUAUGUUCAUUUUUAAAGAACACUUAAUGUAACAUUUUAAUCUCUACAGCUAUUCUUGCUUAGUGCGGCUAAACUGCUGUUUAAAGUAGCAGUGACUACAAAACUGUAGCAUUCCACUCAAUAUUCUGUGAUGUCAAGGAUAAACCUUCAUUUCAAAGGAUAUUGGUGGGAGGGGACCCAGAUUUACAUGCGGAAUAUCACGUAGCUAUUUUUUUCACAAUGCUUCAAUAAAUAUUUCCUGUCAUAAUUUAUGACAGGAAAUUAUGACACAAAUUAUGACAGGCUGACUCCAGAUUAACUCUGGAAAAAAUGGGGAUUAUUUCACUUCAUCUUGUUCAAUGUAGUGCUUCAUGCAGUCCACAUUUUAAAUGUGUUAUCACUGCUUAUAACCUCAAAAUAGCUUUCUAUAAUCUCUAACAGGAAGUUAGUAAAAACUAGAUUUUAGAGAAAAUAUUUGUAAGAGGUGAUAAAAAGAGGUCAGUUGUAACUAAUAUAGUUCCAUCUUCAGUUACACUACACAUAGUUCAGGAAGCUUUCUUUAUGUUACAGUGUUUAUUGCAUGAAGAACAACCUUAACCCUUAAAUAAGGGGAAACUGGUGAAGGUGACUAAAUAUAGCUGCUUUAUUAGAAUGGCUUUAAAACCUAAAUACCAUUUAUUUUUAGCUCAAAUAUAUACAUUUAGAAUUAGAUACAGAAGUUUUAGCUAAAACUAUAGAAAGAUGUAAAAUUAAGAAAAAAUUCCAGUGCUUUGACUAUUCCAGUACGGUGUUGAACCUUCUGGGGACGAGGAACCUCUUUGAAAUCUGAUAAAGGUUAGAAAAAUGAAUGUAUGCAUUCACACACACAAAAUUCUUCACAUAAUUUUAGAAUAUUCAUAGACCAUCAUUGCUACUGAGUGGUUUUCUAAAACUCCCAAAUUUUAAUCUUAGACAAUUCUCUGGCUGGGCGUGGUGGCUCAUGCCUGUAAUCCCAGCACUCUGGGAGGCCGAGGCGGGCAGAUCACUUGAGGCUAGGAGUUCGAAACCAGCCUGGCCAACAUGGCAAAACCCCAUCUCUACUAAAAAUACAAAAAUUAGCUGGACAUGGUGGAGCCACACCUGUAAUCCCAGCUACUUGGAAGGCUAAGGCAGGAGAAUCGCUUAAACCCAGGAGGUGGAGGUUGCAGUGAGCCAUCGUGCCACUGCACUCCAAUCUGGGUGACAGAGAGACUGUCUCAAAAUAAAUAAAUAAAUAAAUAAAUAAAGGCAGACAAAAGAAACCUAUAACAUUUUAAAGCCUUUAAGGAGUGAGUUAGCAGGAGGGAAAAGGAUUAAAAACUGCUUUAUAAUUAUUUUAAAAUAGAUUAUUUUAAAAGAAUUAGCAUCUCAUACGUUUAACUCAUUAAAAUUCUAAAAGUUUUUACAAAACUAAAACCCAUAGUUUAAUUUUCAAAGAACCAGUUAGUUUAUAAAAUGUUAACCUGCUGUGAAACACAUGGAGAGCUUUCAAAAUACUGUUUUAUUUUUUAUGCUAGUAAAAUGAAGCACUGGGAGUGGAGAAGGAACAAGGAAAUUUGUAAUGGUUAUCAUCAAUUAGACAAAAUACUUCUUUGAAAGUAGCUAUUUACCGGUUUUCUCUAGGACAAAGAAGUUUUAAAAUGUGACUCAUAUUUACACCUGAUUUAAUGGUACUCAGCCUCAGAAUUUAAUGAAAAACUGAGUGAUUUCCCAAAAGCAUAUUGUAAACUUUAUGAAAAGUACUACACUUUUACCAUCUUCCACAUCUUUAAAAAUAAUUCAUGUCAAAACCCAAAAUAUCGACACCUCAGGAACACAUACUGUCUCAUGUAUCAUAUAAAUAUAUGUAUCACUGAUGGCAGAAUCAAUAUAAUUUUGGAACUAAAAACUGAUUUUAAAAACCAAUAAAAAUGCUACAUAACAAGUUUCGUAAGUCAACUUAUAAAAGGACUGUUUUUUUUUCAUUCACCACUAAUUGACAUCAAUGUAAUUUUACCUCAUAAUACAUACAUGCUCUAGUGUUUUUUUUAAUCCAUAAAAAUCUAAUUUGGAUCCAAAAGACAUUCUGCAUAAAAGGUCAAACUUGGGCCAGUCUGUGUGUUGAGACCAGUUAUCAGCCAAAUGUACCCUUUCUUCCCUUGGUAAAAGCUGACUACAUAACGCGAAUGCAUGUAGUCAUAAACUACACUUCAGCAAGAGCAUUACUACCCAUAUAUGCUUAGUUACUGCAUUCUCCCUGAGUUAGGCAGACAGUUAACUUUCAAAGUAAACCUCAUUAUACACUAUAUAUUUGAGAAUAAUAAACAGUUAUUUGUAAUGUGACUACACAGCUAUAUACUAGAAGCCAGAUCUUCUCUCUAUAUUUUACAUAUUCCAAUCCAUGACAUAUACACCCAAAAAGAAAGUCAGCUUGCUCUUAAAUAUCAUUAGGUUUUGUUAAAGCACACAACUCCAUAAAACAACAUUUUAAAUUUAUGAGUAUACUGUCUUCAUACUUUGGAAUGUACUCUAAAAUAUCUCGAAUUACCAAUUAGAUUCCCCUUGUUUCCAUGAGGAGCUCGUAUUACCUGUGCUGAGAAAUACAUUCC
rnacentral:lncRNA from 10 species